UGAAACAACGCCGACUGGAAUUGUCCGCC
rnacentral:sRNA from 1 species